CCUACGGGCGGCUGCAGUGAGGAAUAUUGGUCAAUGGACGCAAGUCUGAACCAGCCAUGCCGCGUGCAGGAAGACGGCUCUAUGAGUUGUAAACUGCUUUUGUACGAGGGUAAACGCAGAUACGCGUAUAUGUCUGAAAGUAUCGUACGAAUAAGGAACGGCUAACUCCGUGCCAGCAGCCGCGGUAAUACGGAGGAUGCAAGCGUUAUCUGGAUUUAUUGGGUUUACAGGGUGCGUAGGCGGUCGGAUAAGUUAGAGGUGCAAUCCCGAGGCUCAAGUUCGGAAUUGCCUCUGCUCCUGUUCGGCUAGCGCGUAGUUGCGGUAGGCGGAAUGUUUGGUGUAGCGGU
rnacentral:rRNA from 1 species